AGGGAUGGGAAAUGAGAAAUGUACUCAGUCACUAAAGAGUGGUUUCAGAGGCUUUAUAGGUACGCAGUGCUGAAGAGACGAAUAGCACACUUUACUCAAGUCAGGUUUUCUCUGGUUAAUUACAGUAGAACGCUAUGGUGUCAGGAGCCACCGAGGCAGUCGUGGAUGACUGACCCCACUUAAUCCAAACCACAGGACUGACAAAUGAUUAAUUCUGGUCGUCAGAUGAUUAGCCCUAUUCAUGGGGUCACAACCUUGCCUGCCACUAACUUGCACCUAAACUCCUCAGGAAAGGUAAGGAGACUUGAAGGAGCCAUUUUUUAAGGCCAAUUCAGUGCAACUGCAACAGACCCUGUAUUCUGUGCACGCCUUCUCCGAGGAGUCCGAUUUCCAGUUUUAGUUAAAUUAGUUUCAUAUCAGUCAAUACUUGUUUAAAAAUAUGUCAUAAGUCUCUGUGGCUUGUGCAUGCUUCAAUUACUUCUGAUUAUUACAUCAAGAUUCGCAAACAAGAUACCAGAGUCACUCUUAUUUACUGCAAAAUGCUAUUGAAACAAACUGAAAUUCAAUUUCAGAACAGAUUGCAGUAACCCAUCAAAACAGAGCAAGUGGAGAGGAAGUUGGGCCUGGAGGUGUGCUGGGCCAUUGUUAAAUGCAGGACAGCAUCUCACCUAAUAAUUUAAACAUGGUCUUGUGGCCUGACAUUUUUAAUGCUUUCUUGAUCUCUUUCUUCUGGCUCUUGUGUGUUCUUUGCCACUGUGGGGUGCAGUGAGUUGCAGGUUAUGGAUUAAAUAUCAAGCCCUCCUCUGCCAAUAGCACUUUUAGGAGGGGAAAAAUGAUUGGGUACUUUUAUAAAUAGUCACGCCAUAGGUGUCCACAGAAAGCAGUGUUUAUGCAGGGCUUUUAAAAGCUGCCUGCCUUUUAGACACAAACCAAUCCAUAAAAAUGCCAAGUUCAAAUUUUCAGCCAUUAUCUGGGCAAUACAUCUCAGGCACCUUGGUAGGCUGAUUGGACAUUUUUGUCAGUGCACAUUAAGAUCCCAGCCUUAACUAAUGCAAUCUGGUUCUAAAAAUUAAUUUAACUUACACAAAUGCCCUGAUAGGCAGCCCAUGGUUCUCAUUUAUUUAGCAAUUCAUUGCAUUUGGAAUAAACUAGAGGGUUAAGAAUUCUACGCUUGAGGCAGCUCUGACUCUGAAGAACAGAAACAUACACAGAUUUCUCCCAUCAUUUGUUGCUUCAGGGCAAGAGAAAAGAAAGCCACUGUAAUUUGGAGACAAGACUUUUCCAGACAACUAUGAACAACAGCAACCAUAGCGCGCCACUAAACAGAGCUGUGUUGUGGAGACGUGGAGAGCAGUAAGACAUCUGUGGGGUACAUAGAGUAGAUGCAAAUAGAAUCUUCAAAAGAGUGUCGGCAUGAAUUCUAGAGAAAACUGAGUGCUUACAAACUCACUUAUAAUAAACAUUUAAAACAUGGGUCAAAAAGUGUUUCCUGGAAUUAGAGAGUCAAUUAAAUGGGGACAAAAUUUAGAAGAUACGUAUAUAUCUAUAUAUCUUGUCUCCCUCUGUCUCUCUCUCUCUCUCCCUCUCUCUCUCUCUACACACACACACACACACACACACACACACACACACAUAUCUAUCUUAUAUAUAUAGUCACAUAUCUGCCAUAUAUAGUCAUAUAUAUAUUGCCAUAUAUUACAUAAAGAGAGAGAGCGAGGGAGGGAGAGAGGUUUUUAUAUAUCUAUUUUCAAGUUGAAAUGUCCUUGAAAAUUGUCUGUUUGAGCUACUUAUUUUUAAAUAUGGAAACUGAGACAGAGAAGUGGAGUAGCCAAGAUCAGAGUGAGUUUUAACAUCCUGAUACCCUAGCUACUAUUUUUCCACAGACUUCCUAAACAUGUUUUUCACUUGCAUGGUUUAAGAACAUGAACUUUCUCUACAAAUUUACUUUUGCCCUGAUUUUUCUUGAAUAACAGGAUUCUACAGUUGUUGGCUCCCUUGUUUCUCUAGCAUAUAUGUGAACAGCAAGCAAAGUGAUUUUUAAAAUCCCCACUUGAAAAAAUAAAUGUUUUCAAGCAUUCUGAUGGGCUCAGUUAAUGUUUAGCUACAAAUAUGGGAGGAGAGGAAAUUAAGUUUUCUAUGCAUGUACCAUUGUGCUGACUUUGACCCUGAACCUUAAUGGGCAGAGAAAGGCAUCUGAGCAUUUUCAUGGGAAUCAACAAUGAAGGGCUUGAGUUCAUUUGUACAACCUAAUCCAGUUCAGGCAGAUGAGCAGAUUUGUGUCUGUCCUACGUUUAAAACCCAUUGAAGAAAGAAAUUCCACAGCUUCCCUAGUAACUUAUUCCUGCAUUCUGUAACCUCUACUUUGAAGAAAAUUUUUGAAGACAGUUCCAACCUGUUUCGUUUCAGUUUCAGAACAUUUCUUCUUCUUUCCAAUUUAUUUAAAUGUACGCAUGCACAUAUACUUAAAUAACAAUCUAUUUUUAUUCCAGAAUACUUAGAUUCUCUAUUUCUUUUGAGAUGAGAUAAGAGACAUUUAUGAAAUAUAGACUUUAAUAUAGUAAUCUGGGAAGGAACUUUUCCAGGCUUUUCCUUCCCUGGAAUGUUUUUGGCCCAGCCAAUUUUGAUUCUAACAUCUUUAGUAGAUACCUUGGCUUCCAGUGUGGAAGAAAACAGAAAGAGCGUUGCAUCCUUAGAAUUUUACAACCUGUUUGGACUAUUACAUCUUUAUAACAGCGAUGGUGUACUUAAUCACACACAAUUUGUUUCAUCGUGCUAGAAACAAAGAAAGCUAUCAAGAACAAGAAUUACAGAAGGGAAUUGGCAGGCAUCUUCUCUGACCCCUAAAUGUUACAGAUAAGGAAACAGAGCCCCUAGUAAGUGAUGUGACUGCUACAGGUCAUAUGACCAGGAGACUGCAGCAGAGUCAAUAGUGGACUCUGGAUUCUCUCUCCCCAUUCCAGCGCUUCUAUUAAAACACACUCACUCAGCAUUCAGCAAGAGGGAGAAGACAGAAAACAUAUUUGUUAUCUUUGAAGGAGGAAUGCUUGGCAUCUGCUAACAGCACACACACACACACACACACACACACACACACAUGCACACACAUGCUUAAAAGCCACAAACAUCCCUUAAAACAUAGCUGAUAUGUAUAAUAGGUAUGUGGCAUUAUCACCAUACUGAGGAUUUAUCAAUUUUUGCAUUACCAUGUGAAUGAAUGAAUUUCACUCCCCCAUACCCAAUGUGUAGUCCUCCAUCACAGUUGUAGUGUGGAUAAUGUUCCUUCUUCAGACAACUCAAAGAGGUCACUAAUACCAGCUAAAUAUAUUCUUUACUUCAUGUUACCUUGAACAAUAACAUGUGUGAGCAAAUUCAACAAAGUAGAACUUUAUAUAAAAUCAGAGUGGGGUUUACAACCUCAAGUUAAAAUUGACGUUAUUUCUUGCAAUAAAAUCACUUACUGAUUUUUAUGUAUAUGUGACGUUUUAUGUAGUGGUGAGGUCCCUACAUUUCUCAAAAGCUUUGGGUUAAGCUCUUAGAAUGUGAGAAUCGUAAUGAAGUCUAAAGUGACAUCUAACUUCCUGCUAACAUAUGUAAGUCCUUAUUCUGGGUGUGAUCUUUUUCACAAAAUAAUGUUUCAGCAAAACUCAUUUCUAGCAACUUCUCAGAGAUAGAAAGGGCCAGAAGGAUAAGCACUGGAAAGUUAAU